ACUAACCAAGGGUGCUGGCUCCUAUAGAGUUUUAGGAGUAUGCGACUCAUAUGGGGGUUGUUAAAGUACUAGUCUUUUGUUCUAUUAAGUUAGUGAGGGUUAUGUGCCUUUGUAUAGAUCUUGAGUAGUUUUGUGUUGCCAUAUAUUGUUUUUUCCGCUUAGAACUCGAGAUUUCUUAGUUAUUUCUUGUCAAGCAAUAUCUGCUCUUAAGCAUCAGAGCUGUUGCCACAACUGUGUUUUUGCUCUGAUAGUAUUCUGUGUUGUUUUCAGGCCUCAGCCUUUAUCAUAGAUCUAUGAAGCACAUUGUGAAGAAUAUGGCAUUGCUGGUUGGCAUCUCUGCCUUAUGGUUUGGCCUCUUCAAGACAUCUAUGGUUCCAAGACUCCAAGUAGCAAAACUUUGUUAAAAGAAGCUGUCAAUGGUUUGACACAGCUUUUGAGAGAGGAAGUCAAAAGUGCUCGUCUAGUUGCUAAUCCUGGUUGUUCCCUUGAUUAAGGAUUAUUUGAAGCAAAGAGGAGUUGACAGAAAAUCAAGAGGAUAAGUACCUUCGUAUUCACAUGCCAUUAAACGUUAUCACGGACGACUAUUUUCAUCAUUGAUAACCAAUGGGGACCACGCAUUUGCGGAGACUUAUUAGCAACGACUUCUCGUUGCUACAAGUCAUUUGCAAUGACAAAAUGUCGCUGCCAAAAACAAAUUUUUCUGUAGUGAUAUAAAC